rnacentral:rRNA from 1 species
GCGAAACUCAAAAAAGUAAGUCUCAGUUCGGAUUGAAGGCUGAAAUUCGCCUUCAUGAAGCCGGAAUUGCUAGUAAUGGCAGGUCAGCAUACUGCCGUGAAUACGUUCCCGGGCCUUGUACACACCGCCCGUCACACCAUGAGAGUUGGGGAUACCCGAAGCCUGUGAGCCAACUGUAAAGAGGCAGCAGUCGAAGGUAGAAUCAAUGAUUGGGGUGAAGUCGUAACAAGGUACC